GUCUUCAUUGUUAUAUCACUGAUUAUUGCCCUAAUCUGUAAAGCUGUAAUGAUUACAAAUACGGUUCGAAUGCAGGAGCUCCCACGCGUCUCCGUCGCCCUGUCGCGAACAAUUGCCUCUCACUUAAUUACGAUUUAUUUAUAUUGUCUGAUAACAUUUGUCCUGUUUUAAACAUUUACUAAAUAAGGAAUAAACGAUUUUUAAAAACUCUAUCA
rnacentral:misc_RNA from 1 species